CCAGGGAGCCUGAGUACCUGUCCUGCUCCCACCUCUCUCUGCCCCAGGACCACAUGUGGAAGCAGCUUCUGAUGGUGCUGGAGCAUGGGGCCUGUGACUCUGGGAGCUGCCUCCAUGCCCUCUCUAUCUCCCUAGAGGACACCCAAAUCCAACUCAGGGACUCAGGAGCGGUGCUGCUGGAUGUGCAGGAUGUGGGCUUACCCUGGACUGGCACUGCUGGCCUCAUUGUCUCCCGAGCCUCCUCCUCCUUCCUGCUGCUAAGUUGGCCUGGGGCUUGGGUCCUCUGGGGAGUGGCCUACCCUGCAGUCUACAUCACCCUGGAUCCCCGCCACGCCCACCAGGUUGCCAGGAAGUGGGUGAGGGGCUGGGUGAGGCUGUGACUUGACUAGAUUUGACUAUCUCACAUGCUCUCCACAACCCAGGUACAAGGUCUAUGUGGCACCUUCACCUGGAACCAGCAGGAUGACUUCCUGAUGCCAGCUGGGGAUGUGGAGACCAGCAUUGCUGCUUUUGCUAGCAAGUUCCAGGUGGCAGACAGUGGCAGGUGCUCUCCAGAGGACAGUGCCCUGCUCUACCCCUGCAGCACCCACUCCCAGCACCUUGCUUUCGCGGAGGCAGCCUGUGCCAUCCUGUACAGCCCAGUCUUCCAGGUAGCUGGGGUGGCCCUUCCCACACCUGUACAGUUAAGGGAACAAAUGCAA
rnacentral:lncRNA from 1 species